rnacentral:rRNA from 1 species
GCUGGUGCCUCGAGCGGAGUGGGUACACCUCUUCCCAUCCCGAACAGAGCCGUUAAGCACUCCAGCGCCGAUGGUACCCCGCACCUUUUGCGGAACGUCACCGUUCUUCGCAAGGUGCGGGGGAGAGUAGGUCGGUGCCAGCU